rnacentral:rRNA from 1 species
CUGAUGCAGCAACGCCGCGUGAGGGACGAAGGCCUUCGGGUUGUAAACCUCUUUUAGUAGGGAAGAAGCGAAAGUGACGGUACCUGCAGAAAAAGCACCGGCUAACUACGUGCCAGCAGCCGCGGUAAUACGUAGGGUGCAAGCGUUGUCCGGAAUUAUUGGGCGUAAAGAGCUCGUAGGCGGUUUGUCGCGUCUGCUGUGAAAACUGGAGGCUCAACCUCCAGCCUGCAGUGGGUACGGGCAGACUAGAGUGCGGUAGGGGAGAUUGGAAUUCCUGGUGUAGCGGUGGAAUGCGCAGAUAUCAGGAGGAACACCGAUGGCGAAGGCAGAUCUCUGGGCCGUAACUGACGCUGAGGAGCGAAAGCAUGGGGAGCGAACAGGAUUAGAUACCCUGGUAGUCCAUGCCGUAAACGUUGGGAACUAGAUGUAGGGGCCAUUCCACGGUUUCUGUGUCGCAGCUAACGCAUUAAGUUCCCCGCCUGGGGAGUACGGCCGCAAGGCUAAAACUCAAAGGAAUUGACGGGGGCCCGCACAAGCGGCGGAGCAUGCGGAUUAAUUCGAUGCAACGCGAAGAACCUUACCAAGGCUUGACAUAUACCGGAAACGGCUAGAGAUAGUCGCCCCGCAAGGUCGGUAUA